UACCCUCCUCUUGAAAGAGUUCAAGUCAUAGGCAGGAGGAAGUACAGACCAAGGAAGACUGUUCGGGAGUUUGCCAUGAAGGGGAUGAAGGAAUGAGGAUGCUGGUUAACUCUUGCAUGAGGGAUUGGGACUGUUGUUUCUUUACUGAUAUCUUUAUUAAUUGAAAUGAAACGUGUUGACUCAAAAAGGUUUAGUGGUUCACCAUUUUGGUACAGGUUUUGUAUCAGUAUUAAUUAUUUAACCCAGGAUUAUUUACCUUCAAUACAUCUAACUAUCUGUCUACUACUACUACUACUACUACUACUACGGGCCUCCAUCUAUUAGAGUUGCGUUGUGAGCGGUAUAUUCUCUCAUAUCCUUUCACAAAGCAAUUCAUUGGCCCCACCCCGCCAAUGACUGUGGCCGACAACCAUCUUUAUUUAAUAUAACAAACUUUACUAAGCAUUUUAUUUUUAAGCUAACAGAGCUUGUGGUUGAUACGACUAUCAACCGCCGUCGCCUCAAAGUCCAGGUCGGCAAUGUGGGUGGUUUUGGGUGCAGGCGACCUGGUUCCUCUCAGGCAGACCAAGGCUGACCUCAGGAGGGAGAAGGACAGCCUGCAUCUCAUCCAGGCGACCACACUGCUUCUUGGCUGCUGUUUCUUAUCCGCCAGUGUUUCGGCGAGUCUUGCGUAGAAGCUCUGCGCCCUUGGUCCCAUCCCUCCUGCCGUCAAGUCCGGUGUCCCAACCUCACUACAACGCUGACUACUGCCUUAAGUGUGGUAGUGGAGGAUAGAGGCCGAGUGGAGGCUACAGCGGACUAUUCCUGCGAGAAGGGGAGGAGGAUAGUCGGGAAUAGUCAGCGGAAGUGUGGUAGUAAUGGUAUCUGGAGUGGCAGUCAACCGCGCUGUGAAUAUGUGACCUGCGACCUACCACAAGGCUUGGAUAAUGGUAGAAUAGUCCGACUCAACCAGACCCUGGAAUACGGUAGCCUGGUCGAAUAUCACUGUCUACCGGAACACAGGCUGGUCGGGGGGACCUUCCGGAGGUCAUGUGGCGAGCUGGGCGAGUGGUUGGGUGGAGAACCGAAGUGUGUGUUGGGUCCAGAGGAUGCCUACAACACCAUAGGCUCCGAUAGUAGUAGUAGUAGUAGUGUGAGUACUACUUCUACUUCUACCGCUAGCAACACCGGGCUCUACAUCGGACUAUUCUUCGGGCUCAUCCUGGCGAUAGUCUUCAUAGGAGUGCUAGUCUACUUCAGAAUGUUUUGGGCGCCCAGCCGUACACGUGAACUAACAGUCUUGGCUUCAGGGCAGGUCGCUAAAAUGGAGUGUCGAUGAUUUGAUUGAGGCAGUAUUCCUCGGCAAAGUGCAUGACAGCUUUUGCCUGGGUCCUCAUGUCUUCCGCUCCUCCAUACACACACUCCAAAUUCCAGUCUGUUAGCGGAAAGUUUAAGUCUGCAAGGCAGUGCCAGUGUUUGGAGUGCCACUGUGCCUGGCCGUCCAGCGCUGCCCGGCACACGAUGGCAUCCAACUGCCCACCAUUGUCAGGGAGUGCAUUGACCAGAUAGAGGUCUCCACUGUGAGGGCAUCUACAGGCUGAGUGGCGUCAAGAGCAAAGUACAUCAACUGCGUCGCCUCUACAACACUGGGGAGGGUGUGAGGCUGUGUGACCAGGAGCCGCACGUCAUCGCAUCCCUCCUCAAGCAGUACCUCAGGGAGUUGCCGGAGCCAGUGAUGCCGUCGGACAUGAUGCCACACUUUGAGGACGUAGCGAUCAUUCCUAACCCCGGGGAGCGCGCCGAGGCCAUGCGCCAGCUGAUCAACCGCCUGCCAACCGCCAACCGCCUGCUGCUCCAAUACAUGUUCAAGCAUAUGGGACACAUCAUUGCAAGGGUGCCUGAGGACGCCUUCCCAUGGACAGCAGCAGGCGACAUCCUCCUGAGGGGCUGCUGUGUGGCGUCCAUCCUUCUUUGUAUAAAGACAAAUACACUUACCUCAACACAACAA